UCGAAAGCAGGGCCUCUCCUGACGAUCUUAAACUUCGUGAUGGUUUGUAACAGGAGAUAUGUUUGGACAGGUAAUCUGGGCCAGAACUGUUUAAGGCUUUAAAAGUUAAAACCAGCACUUUGAAUUGUGCUCGGAAGCUGAUCAGCAGCCAGUGGAGCUGGCAUAAUAGAGGAGUUGUACGCCGCUCCAGUGAGCAACCUGGCUGCUGACUGUUGGACUAGUUGAAGCUUCCGAGAAGUCUUCAAAGGCAGCCCCACGUAGGGAGCGUUGUAGUAGUCUAUUUGGGAUGUUGGAGGAAAAGAGGGGCAUCGGAUAAGAACGUCGGAUAAGACGGAAUGUCGGAUAAGCAAAAGUUGGAUAAGCGAGACUCUACUGCACUGCAUCUUUUCUCCCUGUUUAGUAUGAAAUUGAGGGGCCUGUUGGGGAUUUUGUAGGCCCCUAUGGAUCCUUUGGGUAGAUUUAAUCUCUGCUCUUGCAAAGACAUACAAAGAUACCAUAUAUACUCAAGUGUAAGCCGACCCAAAUAUAAACCUAGACACCUAAUUUAAUCACAAAAAACUGGGAAAACAUAUUGACUCAAAUCUAAGUCGGGGGUGGGAAAUGCAGCAGCUACUGGUAAAUUUCAAAAUAAAAAUAGAUACCCAUAAAAUUGCAUUGAUUGAGGCAUCAGUAGGUUAAAUGUUUUUGAAUAUUUCCCAUAUUUCAAAGAAAAACAGUAAAUUAGCUGGAGCUGACAGACAGGAGCUCUACCCGCUCCCUGGAUUCAAACCACCAACUUUUUGGUCAGCAGUCCUGGCAGCACAUGGGUUUAACCCAUUGCGCCAACGGUAUCUUUUGCUGAAAUAGUCUUGCAUUUGACAGACCUUCCACUAAAACCCAAGCCAGGCAGAGUUACAAAUUGUCUCCUUUGGACUGGUGCUGUGGUGCCUUUAAAGCCAGUUGGUUUCUUCCAUAGUAUCCUGAAUUAAAGAAGAAAGGGUCAAUUAACUUUGUGUGGUCCCUGACUUUCCCCUACUGUGUUUGUCUUAAGAACUCUUCUCAGUUUAUCAACUUGUUUGAGCUGGUUUCGGUUUACCAAAGAGUGACUUACCCAAAAUUCUGCAGAGUUCCAAUUUUACAGCUUUCAGAAUCAAAAACUUAUAUUGAGACUGUUAAUAGCCUAAUAGUGAUUGGCAAUUUCCUCAGGCCAUUUUUGAUAGUUCGAUGUCUUGCUCACUCGUGUCAAUACGUUAUUUAUCCCUUCCUCCUGCUUCCUGGGGUUAAGAAUUAUUAUCAAGCCAUAAUACAGUACUGUAAAGAUCAGAGGGAGCUUCUUAGAACAUGCAAGCAGGUCUGAGUGGAAUCGAACCAGGACAAGUUAACGUACUUGUUUUAUAUCCAGUGGGAUGUAAGCUUGGCUAAAGAAUGCUGCACACAAGUCUCCCUCAGCGCUUUUUGGCAGCAGGGCAGAGCAAGAAAUCGGUUAAAUCUCAGUCUUGAAUGUGCAUUGGGAUGGACAACGUGUAGACCAAGCAAUCUCAAAGUAUGGAUGAAGGGCGUUCACUAAAGAUUUCCCCGGACCCACUUCCUGUGGACUGAGAACAAUGAAACUUGGCCCAGUUCUGAGUCAUUCUCUCCAUGGGUGCCACACUUCUCCCAUCUUUGUAAGCAAUGUAAACACCUUGCUUGUAGAAGUUGACAGGUUGUCCAAAAGCCACGUUGUGACUUUGGAAAUCAGGGUCUCGUCAUCUGAAAAAGGCUUGCCCCUUGAAAAAUAACUUCCUUGUUGGAAAGAGGUGGAAGUCCCGAUGGUGCGAGGGUGGGUGAGUAAGGGAUGCAGUUGAAUUUCAAAGCCACAGGAGCCAUUUGGACAGCGUGUGAGUGGUGAACUAAUGCAUUGUCUUGCAGAAGGCGGACAUCUUUGAUGAGCAUGCCACAUUGUCUCUUGGUUUUGAUGGCCUCCAGCAAUGUCCACAGCAGUGAAGCCUAGUCUGCCCCAGUGAUCAUGGUCCCCUUUGCUAGGAAAUCCAUCCAUACGUCUCUGUGCUGGUCCCAAAAUACUGUGAGCAUGACCUUGCCUGCCAAGAGUUGGGCAUGUGCCCUCUUUGGAGGCGGUGAGUCAUGAUGCUUCCAUUGCAUCGACUGGACUUUAGUCUCAGGAUCAGAGUGAUGGAUCCAGCUUUCCUCCUGUGUGAUCAGUCUGUUGAAAAAGUCCUCCUGGUUUCUGUGGCACAACAUUGUCAAUAGAACCUGAGAGCAUUCGACUCGUUCCUAUUUCUGGAAAGGUGUGAGCAGCCGGGGGACCCAGAGAGUGGAUACCUUAUGCAUCUGAAGAUGGUCUGGGAUGGUUUUUCCACGUACUCCACAUGUACGACUCCAUGCUGGUCCCAAAAUACUGUGAGCAUGACCUUGCCUGCCAAGAGUUGGGCACAUGCCUUCUUUGGAGGCGGUGAGUCAGGAUGCUUCCAUUGCAUCGACUGGACUUGAGUCCCAGGAUCAGAGUGAUGGACCCAGCUUUCACCCUGUGUGAUCAGUCUGUUAAAAAAGUCCUCAUAGUUUCCAUGGCACAUCAUUGUCAAGAGAGCCUGAGAGCAUUCGACUCAUUCUUGCUCCUGGAAAGGUGUGAGCAGCUGGGGGACCCAGCAAGCGGAUACCUUAUGCAUGUGAAGAUGGUCUUGGGUGAUUUUUUCCAUGGACCCCACACUCAUCUUGACAUGUUGGGCUAGGUGGCAAAUGGUUAUGCGGCAGUUUUCCAAAAUGGCGUCCACCACUUGCUGGAUGGUGUGUUCCUCAAUAGCAGAAUCACCCCGGAAUUGGAGCUCUUUCCACCGAAGUCCAGCCACAUUGGAAUUGACAAUAGCAAUUCUUGACUCCAUCAUAUGAAGGGGAAUCAACACCAUAAACCUCUUUCAUCUCAUUGAAUGUCUCCUUUGUUGUACAGCCUUUCAAGUCACGGAACUUGAGGACUGCUCUGUAUUCCACUAGGUCCAUUAUCAAACCUCAAACUACUUUAGCACCUGUACCAUCAAGACCGUUCUGAGUUGUAAAUUGGCACGUAACCUAUACUUAUAUCAUUAUACAUAUGCCGUUUCAGUGUCCUGUGGUAAAUAGAAGUGGGUCAGAAGACAUCUUUAAUGAACGCCCCCUGUAAGAAACCAACAAACAAUACACUUCAAAUUGAGAUGCCGCCGCAUCUAAAACGUGCCUUGUCACAUCAUGGUCAUAGGGUAAUAUCUCUGUAUCCAUUCAAAGUUCAUCCCUUAUGUCCAUCCAGAUGUGAAGCAUGCCGUAAACUAUUUUCAAUAAUUUAGUGGGAAAGUGAAAACCUACAGAUUGGUGAACAGUUUUUGGUUGGUUAAUAAUAAUGCAGAAAUUGAAGAAGCAGGGGUUUGAAACUUUGGGUUGAAGUAUGUGAAUUUCUACAGAUUGCUUCAUAAUUGAGUCUCUUAAUCUACCUUUUAGCUAUAUAGACAAUGUGAAAAAAAAAAACACCCAGCAACAGUGUCCUUUUUAUUUUUACUUUCAAUGUUUUAACCUUCUAUACAAACUGUGAAAAAGGAAAUUUUAUACUUCUUUGUGAACCUUUGUGGUUUGGAGCCACGGUGGAUUUCUUUUUCCUAACCGACUUACCUUCCAUAUAGUUUUUACUGAAGUUGUAAAUAAACUCAAGAUGAUAGCUCUGUAAAUAAGUGGGUUUUGAAAAAAUACAAAAUUAGACAGCUGAUUCUGUAUUAAAGUGUGAAUGCUUUUAGCGGCAGGAAGGAUACUGUCUAUUCACUGUUUGGACAGGAUUUACUGUAAGUCGAAGCCAGGGCUGAUCCUCUCAAGAGGAAACUUGUGGGGUUGCAGUAGCCUUACAUAGGGAUGUUUUAGGGUAUAAUGUAUUCCUGUUGUGUUUUGCUCAUUUGGGGUGUUGCAAACAUAAUGGGCCUGAUUGGGGUCAGAUUUCCGCAUCGAAGCAAAUCAUGGUUUGUGUUGAGAACCACUGGCUUAGGUGAUGACCAAACAUGAUCGCAUGAGUCAUUCCAUGCCAAGUGGUCUAAAAUUUUUAAAAGUUCCCACCAUCAUGUUCUCCAACUUUGUUCAAAUUUUAGCUGUAGCGUUAAUCAGGUUGUAAACUAAGUUUCCCAAAAUGUGAGGUCUCUAACUGGUGGGGGUGCUGGUUGCAGUGUGAUAACCGGUAAUGGCUCAGUCAUCCUGGACCAAUGCAAUAUGCCAUGCACACAAAAUACAAUACAUUGUGUAUCUCCAUUGCCAUAGAAGCCACACCAAAACAUCUGGAGACCCACAGGUAGGCAGUUGUGGAAACAAUCCCGAGACAAACCAGAGUUGUGAUUUUGGACAUCACAACAAAUCGUAGUUGAAAUAUAAACCAACAACAACAAACCAUGGUUUGUGGUUAAUUCAUAGAGACUUCUCCUGCCUCAUGUUCCAGUGGUUAAGACUGAUAAUGUGACAAUAUUAACUGUAGUUGAGACUCGUUCUUACUCAGUUUGAGAGUCCUGGUUAAGAAUAAUCAUUAGGGCUAUAACCUGGUUAGGUGUGAUCAAUUUUAAAAUGAGAUGGGCCACUCAACAUUCGGCCUUUUAUGUUAGUCACAUCUCAAGUGACACAAGUGAAGGCUGCUCCAAACCCACUUCUUGAGUCUGAAUGCUCCUGGCCUAAACCUCUUUCUUUAGAAGUCUCUUAUAAUUCCCAGACUCAACAUCCAGAAGUCUUUUCAUUGGUUUCUACAUAAAAUUAAGUUGUGAUUUCAAAUUACUCAUAUUCACUAACAUGCAGAUAGCAGAUUUCUUUUUUAAGGGCUGGGAAAAGAUGGUGUGGUUGAGCUUUACAGAAAUGUAUCUUGAAUUAUGUUUUGUUACCUAUUUCGUUUACUGUGACUACGGACUUCUUUCUUUCUUUUGUCGUCAUCUGAAGCGGGUUUCACAUUGAAGCCACUGAAAAA